rnacentral:rRNA from 1 species
AGGCUUGACAUAUACAGGUAUAUGGCAGAAAUGUCAUAGCCGCAAGGUCUGUAUACAGGUGGUGCAUGGUUGUCGUCAGCUCGUGUCGUGAGAUGUUGGGUUAAGUCCCGCAACGAGCGCAACCCUCGUUCUGUGUUGCCAGCAUUUAGUUGGGGACUCACAGGAGACUGCCGGGGUUAACUCGGAGGAAGGUGGGGAUGACGUCAAAUCAUCAUGCCCCUUAUGUCUUGGGCUGCACGCAUGCUACAAUGGCUGGUACAAACGGCUGCGAUACCGUAAGGUGGAGCGAAUCCCAUAAAGUCGGUCUCAGUUCGGAUUGAGGUCUGCAACUCGACCUCAUGAAGUUGGAGUUGCUAGUAAUCGCGGAUCAGCAACGCCGCGGUGAAUACGUUCCCGGGCCUUGUACACACCGCCCGUCACGUCACGAAAGUCGGUAACACCCGAA